GGACUACUAGGGUUUCUAAUCCUGUUUGCUACCCACGCUUUCGCACCUCAGUGUCAGUAUCAGUCCAGGCAGUCGCCUUCGCCACUGGUGUUCCUUCCUAUAUCUACGCAUUUCACCGCUACACAGGAAAUUCCACUGCCCUCUACCGUACUCUAGUCAAGCAGUAUCAGGUGCAGUUCCCAGGUUAAGCCCGGGGCUUUCACAUCUGACUGACUCAACCACCUACGCGCGCUUUACGCCCAGUUAUUCCGAUUAACGCUCGCACCCUCCGUAUUACCGCGGCUGCUGGCAC
rnacentral:misc_RNA from 1 species